UCUCCGUUGGUGAACCUGCGGAGGGAUCAUUACAGAGUUAUAAAACUCCCAAACCCAUGUGAACUUACCAUUUGUUGCCUCGGCAGAACCUACCCGGUAACUGUUCGGAGAAGCUACCCUGUAGCGAGUUACCCCGGAACGACUUACCCUGUAACGCCUGCCGGUGGACUACUAAACUCUUGUUAUUUUUAAAGUAAUCUGAGCGUCUUAUUUUAAUAAGUCAAAACUUUCAACAACGGAUCUCUUGGUUCUGGCAUCGAUGAAGAACGCAGC
rnacentral:misc_RNA from 1 species